AAAAAAUGCGCUAUUUACCGACGGAAUUACCGACAUACACAAAUCCGUCUGUGAUUACCGCCGGAAUACCGAGGGAACAGUUCCGUCGUGCCGUCGCCGAGCUGCAGCCUACGCCGUCGCCGAGCUACAGCCUGCGCCGUCGACGAGCUACAGCCAUCGCCGUCGCUGACCUACAGCCACCGCCGUCUCCUCCCCUCAAAUCGGCGGCAUUCUGUUUUCUCGACUCCACCCUUGUCCACAGCUCUAACCUCCAAUUUUUGAAGAAUUAAGGUUGGAUUUGGGGGAAUUGGUUGAGUUUUUCUUAAAUUGG